rnacentral:rRNA from 1 species
GAUGAACGCUGGCGGCGUGCCUAAUACAUGCAAGUCGAGCGAACAGACGAGGAGCUUGCUCCUCUAACGUUAGCGGCGGACGGGUGAGUAACACGUGGAUAACCUACCUAUAAGACUGGGAUAACUUCGGGAAACCGGAGCUAAUACCGGAUAAUAUAUUGAACCGCAUGGUUCAAUAGUGAAAGACGGUUUUGCUGUCACUUAUAGAUGGAUCCGCGCCGCAUUAGCUAGUUGGUAAGGUAACAGCUUACCAAGGCAACGAUGCGUAGCCGACCUGAGAGGGUGAUCGGCCACACUGGAACUGAGACACGGUCCAGACUCCUACGGGAGGCAGCAGUAGGGAACCUUCCGCAAUGGGCGAAAGCCUGACGGUGCAACGCCGCGUGAGUGAUGAAGGUCUUCGGAUCGUAAAACUCUGUUAUUAGGGAAGAACAAAUGUGUAAGUAACUAUGCACGUCUUGACGGUACCUAAUCAGAAAGCCACGGCUAACUACGUG